ACGUUAUUUCUAUUGGGCAAAGACAAAAUAGAACACUGUUGUAAGUACGUCUGGUCACUUUGCCAAAAUAUGUGAAAGUGACCAGGCACACUCACAUGCACUCUGUGUUGUCUUUGGCCAAUUCCAAUUUUUUAUGGGGGUGUUACUUUCUACAAAAACUUCACUCUGGAGGGGUUGUACUACAGAGGGGUUCUACAACACUCCCCUCCAAAAAGAAAUGUCGUCACGACAUUUUAUCGGUCCAACAUUGGUCUAUAUACAGUUCUUUGGAGAAUCCUGUUUCCAAACAGUAUCAUGGUGGACAGCGCACUACAGUCAUGGGAACUACAG